rnacentral:rRNA from 1 species
UACAGAGGUCCCGAGCGUUGUUCGGAUUUAUUGGGCGUAAAGGGUGCGUAGGUGGCAAAGUAAGUCGGAUGUGAAAUCCUGGGGCUCAACCUCAGAAUUGCAUUCAAUACUGCUUAGCUAGAGAGCUGUAGAGGAGACUGGAAUUUACGGUGUAGCAGUGAAAUGCGUAGAUAUCGUAAGGAACGCCAGUGGCGAAAGCGAGUCUCUGGGCAGCAUCUGACACUGAGGCACGAUGGCCAGGGGAGCAAACGGG